GUCGGUCUCUCUCUUGAUUGAAGAUGGAACAGAUGAAGAUCGAAGGAGUUCUUCGUUGUUACUUGAUCAUCAAAAUCUCUGAAGAUGCUUCGGAGUAGUUGAUGUGCUGAUUUCCAGAAAAUCGCAGAAUGAAGAUUGAGCUAAGUCUUCUCAAUCUUUACUUGUACAUUUGUUGCGCAAAGAUUCUGAUUUCAGCAGAUUCUGUUGACAUUUAAUUUCACUGAUUUUGUUGAAGAAGAAGCUGAGAAAAACACGUCUAGAUUGCAACUCGAAAGAAGCAUACACCAUCUUCAAAUCAGCAGCCGAGGCGUUCAUUCGAUGAGUUCGAGGAUCACAGAAUCAAAGGCCAGCGUUCUUCAUUUUCCAGGAGUUCCAAUAACAAAAUCGAAGCUAAGUGUUUGGUUUCCUCUUUUCUAUUUCGGUAAGGAGUGUUAUUAGAUUCAGAUCCUCCACUGAUUUCAGUACAUGUUUUUUUGUUAAAUAGCAACUUCAUUGUCACUGAAUGGUGGACAUCUCCGAAGGUCAGUUCUUGGCCGAUUCAUUAAGGACCAAGGUGGGUGCCAUGAAACUCCAUUUAAUAUCAUCCGAUGAGGCGAGAGCUUCUCGUGUCGUGAUUCAUGAUCGACAAUGAAGGUUUGGGGCCAGGAUGCAUUGCAAAUCUAAUUAAAAUCAAUGUUUGUAUGAUCUGGAAUUGAUUGCAGUUGGAUGCUGAGAUUCUGUGAUUUUCGAUUUCGGAUGAGUGAUUCACUGUUUCGGCUGAAAGGAGGUGCUAGAUGAGGUUUUUUGACCUCGAGUCCUUCUAGACAUAUAAAAUAUACUUCUAGAGCUUCGAUUUGAUAUGUUGCACGCCCUGAACGGACGUCGUUCAGUCAUCAAAAAACACCUACAAAGUCUGUCAAUUCUGCAGUAGUUUUAAGGUUGAUUUGCUGUUCUGAUUGAUUCUCUGUUUCGAAUGACCUUUUGUGCAAAUGACCUGAUAUGAGCUGGUUUCUGUGGUUUUCUGUGUUCGAUGUCUUCACGAGAGUUGAAGAAGACUCAAAGACCUUUCCAACGACCCAUUGAACGUUCCGAUCCGAUGUCGUUUACUAGCUGAAAUUAGCUCGGCAUUUAGCACCAGUUUUCUGGAAAAUUUUGGUGUUCUGACUUGCUCUCUGUUCUGAAUGACCUACUGUGAUUUUCUGUUUUAACUGGACUAAGCUGGUAGAUGAUGUUAUUAGGGUUUAAUGUCUUCUAGAGAUUUGUAAUAGACUUUUCAAGCGUUCCAUAGACAUAUAAUACGUGCGAUUUGGCCACCAUUUGCCCUACCUGAUGCUUCUUGCAAAGAGCACUAAUCUGCUGAUGUGUUCUGCUUGUUAUAAUCUGAUCUGACCACUUAUACAAAUGGCUUUGCUUGAGCUAGAAAAAGACCUAAAUUGCAAUUGUCACCUAAUAGGAAUUCAUAAAAGACACCUUGAGCUUUCUAACGGUGCCUAGUUUGUUCAAUUUGCCCAUCAUUUGCCCUGCCUUUCUUUUUUUUCAAAUUGAGCUUUGAAAUCUGGAAUUUGUCUUGAACUACAAUGCUGUCUUUUCUGUGGCUAGUUGCUGUUAGUCUUAAGAUGAGAUAGUAGAUUUGUCCAAUUGCUUUCAAUAUGUUGUAGAAUGACGGUGUGACAUGUUACUGUGCUCUAUUCUGGAUUGACUUGUUUUUUUUAGAUUUUUAGAAAUUCAUGUGUUGAUAUGAUGAUAGUGUCUCUAUGAAAUUUAUUUGGGAUAUCACAUAGAAUUUGAUUCAGAGACCUUGUGACUUUAGUCACUCUUUUUGAAUAUAAAAAUGUCUUGCUUUUGAUUGUUUUGAUGUAUUUGCUCGUCUCUUUCCAUUGUAUGCAUUUAGCUAGAAGUUUCCUAAGCUAGGUUUAGAUUAGGACCCCGAAGAUGGAGAAGGCGUGAAGAUGGUGAAGGUCGAUGUCCACUCCGACUGUUAUCAUAUAAUGCUCAUUUUCCCGACAUAUGUCUCGGGUUUUAUGCAUUGUAUAAAGCCCGACGAGUUGCGGGUUUCCUUUCUUUCUCGAUUGUUUUCUCUUUUAUAUUCUUUAGAAUUGCAUGAUUA
rnacentral:lncRNA from 1 species